AACGAACGCUGGCGGCAGGCCUAACACAUGCAAGUCGAACGCCCGUAGCAAUACGGGAGUGGCAGACGGGUGAGUAACGCGUGGGAACGUACCCUUUGGUUCGGAACAACUCCGGGAAACUGGAGCUAAUACCGGAUGAGCCCUACGGGGGAAAGAUUUAUCGCCGAAGGAUCGGCCCGCGUCGGAUUAGCUUGUUGGUGAGGUAACGGCUCACCAAGGCGACGAUCCGUAGCUGGUCUGAGAGGAUGAUCAGCCACACUGGGACUGAGACACGGCCCAGACUCCUACGGGAGGCAGCAGUGGGGAAUAUUGGACAAUGGGCGCAAGCCUGAUCCAGCCAUGCCGCGUGAGUGAUGAAGGCCUUAGGGUUGUAAAGCUCUUUCGCCAGGGACGAUAAAUGACGGUACCUGGAUAAGAAGCCCCGGCUAACUUCGUGCCAGCAGCCGCGGUAAUACGAAGGGGGCUAGCGUUGUUCGGAAUCACUGGGCGUAAAGCGCAUGCAGGCGG
rnacentral:rRNA from 1 species